CUGCAGAUUCAUGCUAAAGCAAUGACUGUUCUUUUCCUCUGCAUUAAAAGGACUCCUUUAUUCUUUUACAUGUAUUCAAAAGGUCAGCACAAAU
rnacentral:snoRNA from 1 species